rnacentral:lncRNA from 1 species
AUCAUUCUCAUCUUUUAAUUUUGUCGCACAAAGAGUUCCAAAUCUAAAAGAAUAUAAUUGCAGACACAGAGAGAGAAAGAGAGCUGUUGGAGUGUGAACUAGAGAAGACAAUGAGAUGACUUUCAUUAUCAUUUUGCAGCCAUUUCUCAGUUUCUUCGGUAUGUUUCCUUCUCUAAUGAUCUCUCUCUCUCUCUCUCUGGUCUCACAUUUUUCUCUUUUGUUCUGACACUUCACUUGUGAGAGUUUUCGUUGUUGUUUGUACAUUUGGAUCUAAUCUAUUCGAACUAUUCGACGAGUCGUUUUGUAUCUGUCUCUAGUUUUGCUUGAAGAAAGACUCAAUCUUUUUAGUUUCUGUAGCUACCCAUUUGCUCUUUCUGGUAAUUUUG